GUGCCAUUCCUUCUAUGAGUUCUGGAAAAUAUUCCCCGUGUUUUAACUUGAUUGCUACAAAGUGGAAUGGGAGCCAUGGAUUUAAGAGCAUGGAAAACUUUCAGUUCUUUGAAUUCACAAUGUUUCCUAGAAGCUUUCACAAAGAAUAUGAUGCAUCAAAAUGAACGAGAGCACGAUAUACUGGGUAGAGAAGCAAGUGGUGCAAAGCAUCUCUGCACAGCAGGAAAAGGAGACAAUUGCCAAGUGUAUUGCAGAUCUACAGCUGCUUGCAAAGAAGGCUGAAGCACAACCAAUUAUGUAAAUGCAUCUCU